AAAUCUUUUAAGUGUGUACUUUUUUCGUUGCACAGUUUUAAGUAGCAUACAAACCACCAUAAUAUGCAGGCACAGAAUGCAUUUUAUGUAUAUUUAUUGCUGAUGGAUAAUGGUGCAGGGGUAAUGGAGUCAAGUGCCUGUGUAUAGCAUGCCUUACGUGGGAGCAGCUGUUUUAUGAAUUAAAAGUUUGGGACAGAAAUGAUACAGAACUUAGAGAAUUUUUGUGCACCACACUGGGCUGCCCAUUACGCAAUACUGCUAGCAACAUUGAUGAGUGAUUUGAUUGUAAGAGCUCCUCUACCCAUGCCUGUGGGUCCUGUCAAAUGAUCCUGUUAUGGUGACUGAGCCCACUGGGUGAUGUCAUCGAUGGUGCCUAUCUAAACAUUCUUGUUCAAAAUCUACUUUGUAUUUUUGGAAAAGCCUUACAAUCAAAAU